rnacentral:rRNA from 1 species
UGGCGGACGGGUGAGUAAUGCGUAGGAAUCUACCUAGUUGAGUGGGAUAGCCUAGGGAAACUUAGGGUAAUACCGCAUAAGUCUUACGGGAGAAAGCAGGGGACUGUUAAAGGCCUUGCGCGAUUAGAUGAGCCCACGUCGGAUUAGCUUGUUGGUGGGGUAAAGGCCUACCAAGGCGAUGAUCCGUAGCUGGUCUGAGAGGACGACCAGCCACACUGGGACUGAGACACGGCCCAG